CUAAUUCCCAAUGCUAAUUUAUGUCCAGAGCAGGGGAAAAAUAUUUGGCUAGUGUUGCUUCUUAUAUUCAUAUUUUCAGAUCUAUUUAAUUAAGUAAGGUUUCAGACCUUUUCAAAGUACUUGAAUGUAGAAGAUUUUGGAAGUGCAAUGAGAUUUCAGUCAAGGCAAAAUCUUUAAUAAGCUUUGAGAAUUCAAAUACAAAUAGUUCCCAUUCUAAACAGAAUUCUUUCUUUUCCAGAUGUUACAAAGUAUUCAUCAUUCCACAGUGUGCAGUGGAGCUUUAAUCCUACCUUGCCCUACAUUUUGUUUGAUAAACAAUUUUAUCCACUGCCUGAAAUAGUCUUAGACCUUAAAAAACUCUGUUCUUCUGAUUUCAUUAUAUGUGUUAGCUGCAAGUACAUCUUAGGAGUGUUGAAGGGAGAAACUGCUUUUCUGAUAAU
rnacentral:lncRNA from 1 species